UUCUUUUGCAACUGAAGAGAUUGUUCAGUCGAAGAACUUUGUGAAGAUGGGUUUGUUACUGAUUUGUGAAGAUGGGAAAGUUCACAUGAUUGAAUAUGAGAAUUUCAUGAGAUUAGGGUUUUGAAGAACACGGAGAAGAAAAGGGGAUCUGCAGCUGUUGUUUCCAAUUGAAACAACAGAUUGUAAUCGAUUGAAUCUCACAGAGAAGAUUGUAAUCGAUCGAAUCUGUUGUGGGAUUUCGAAUUCAGUUCUUGAACGAUAUGUUGCUGCCAUCAAUUAUUGAUUACGAGGGAGAUGGGAAGAUUUUGAGCAUCAGGAAUGGGGUUUAGUAAGCUGUUGUUGUUGCUAUUGAUCAGAGAAUGGGUUUUGUGGUGGUGGUAUGAAAUUGCAGCUGCAGCCAGAAUGGAACUGAUGGCAAACGAGAACUCUUAACCAGGUAUGAAUUUGAUUUUUUACAAUGGGUAGCAGUAACUAAAGCCAUAUUUUUGAAUUAGGUUAAGAGCGAGGAAUUAAAGUGGUUUUGAUUGAAAUAGGUUUGGGUUUGUCUCGAAAUAACAGUUCAGAGAAGAUGAUCAUGGUAAAAUUGGAGUUAGGGUUUCUGAUGAAAUUAAGUUGUUGAAGAAAUUGGAUGGAUGGGUUUGUGUUGGAAAUAUGUCUGGAUCGAUUUACAGGGAGGAUUGUGAGAGAAAUUGGCAAGAAGGGUUUGAAGCAAGAAACUACAGUAAAGAUGGGUUGCUGCAGAGCAUAGCUGAAGUUGAUUAAUGGUGGACAAGUUGUGGUUCGACUUUGAGGAAUCAAUGUUGUUGUGGUACUGUGAUGCUGCUAUUGGUAGUGCAGAGCAGGUUCUGGUGGACAAGUAUUUUUGGCAGUAGAUAUUACAGAAGCAAGUAAAGGGGGUAAUUUGAACAAUGGGUUGAAACCUUUCUUCAUCAUCUUCAUGCUUCAGCUGUGGUUCCUAAUGCUGAUGAGAACGAUAAGGUCAUGCCUAUUUGCUCAUUGCCAAAGGUUUACACUAUGUGUCAUCAGAAUUGCGGGGUUAAUCUCCCAUCUUAUUGUGGGUGAUUCCCUGUUUUCAUAUCAGAUACGUUUUGCUAGAAAGUUCAUCUUAAGAAUUUUCUUAGAUUAGGUGGUAGACAACUCAAAAUAAUAUGUUGCAUUUGUGUUAUUUGUAUACUGAAUAGACUUUUGUUUGCUCCCGAAGUUUAAAGUAAUAUGCUCAAAGCGUAUGUUUUUUUGUCUUUU